rnacentral:rRNA from 1 species
UACAUGGGGUGCAAACGUUGCUCGGAAUUAUUGGGCGUAAAGCGCGCGUAGGCGGUCGCUUAAGUCGGAUGUGAAAGCCCUCGGCUCAACCGAGGAAGUGCACCCGAAACUGAGUGGCUAGAGUACUAAAGAGGGUCGCGGAAUUCCUGGUGUAGAGGUGAAAUUCGUAGAUAUCAGGAGGAACACCGGUGGCGAAGGCGGCGACCUGGGUAGAUACUGACGCUGAGGCGCGAAAGCGUGGGGAGCAAACAGG